rnacentral:rRNA from 1 species
AUUGAACGCUGGCGGCAUGCUUUACACAUGCAAGUCGAACGGUAACAGGCCUUCGGGUGCUGGCGAGUGGCGAACGGGUGAGUAAUGCAUCGGAACGUACCCAGAGGUGGGGGAUAACGCAGCGAAAGCUGUGCUAAUACCGCAUGUGAUCUGAGGAUGAAAGCGGGGGACCGAGCAGCAAUGUUUGGCCUCGCGCCUUUGGAGCGGCCGAUGUCGGAUUAGCUAGUUGGUGGGGUAAAGGCCUACCAAGGCGACGAUCCGUAGCUGGUCUGAGAGGACGACCAGCCACACUGGGACUGAGACACGGCCCAGACUCCUACGGGAGGCAGCAGUGGGGAAUUUUGGACAAUGGGCGCAAGCCUGAUCCAGCAAUGCCGCGUGCGGGAAGAAGGCCUUCGGGUUGUAAACCGCUUUUGGCAGGAACGAAACGGUGUCCGCUAAUACCGGGCGCUAAUGACGGUACCUGCAGAAUAAGCACCGGCUAACUACG